AGAUGAGUUAUGACAGGAAUCAGUAGGGUUUGCUUCCCUGUUUGAAGAGAGCCGGUGUUUGGUGCGAACCGGUACAAAAGCAAACGUGAAUUACCUCCUUGAACAUUCUUUGUGAAACAUGAAGUAGCAAAGGACGGACGGUCCGUUAUCCGAACGAGCGGAAGACAAGUGUCUUCAACAAGGGUGGUACCGCGUGCAAAACCACGUCCCUUUU
rnacentral:ncRNA from 1 species